rnacentral:rRNA from 1 species
GAUGAACGCUGGCGGCGUGCCUAAUACAUGCAAGUCGAGCGAACAGACGAGGAGCUUGCUCCUCUGACGUUAGCGGCGGACGGGUGAGUAACACGUGGAUAACCUACCUAUAAGACUGGGAUAACUUCGGGAAACCGGAGCUAAUACCGGAUAAUAUAUUGAACCGCAUGGUUCAAUAGUGAAAGACGGUUUUGCUGUCACUUAUAGAUGGAUCCGCGCCGCAUUAGCUAGUUGGUAAGGUAACGGCUUACCAAGGCGACGAUGCGUAGCCGACCUGAGAGGAUGAUCGGCCACACUGGAACUUAGACACGGUCCAGACUCCUACGGGAGGCAGCAGUAGGGAAUCUUCCGCAAUGGGCGAAAGCCUGACGGAGCAACGCCGCGUGAGUGAUGAAGGUCUUCGGAUCGUAAAACUCUGUUAUUAGGGAAGAACAAAUGUGUAAGUAACUAUGCACGUCUUGACGGUACCUAAUCAGAAAGCCACGGCUAACUACGUG